rnacentral:rRNA from 1 species
AUUGAACGCUGGCGGCAUGCCUUACACAUGCAAGUCGAACGGCAGCACGGGAGCAAUCCUGGUGGCGAGUGGCGAACGGGUGAGUAAUAUAUCGGAACGUGCCCAGUAGUGGGGGAUAACUGCUCGAAAGAGCAGCUAAUACCGCAUACGACCUGAGGGUGAAAGGGGGGGAUCGCAAGACCUCUCGCUAUUGGAGCGGCCGAUAUCAGAUUAGCUAGUUGGUGGGGUAAAGGCCUACCAAGGCAACGAUCUGUAGUUGGUAUGAGAGGACGACCGGCCACACUGGGACUGAGACACGGACCAGACUCCUACGGGAGGCAGCAGUGGGGAAUUUUGGACAAUGGGCGCAAGCCUGAUCCAGCAAUGCCGCGUGCAGGAAGAAGGCCUUCGGGUUGUAAACUGCUUUUGUCAGGGAAGAAAUCCUCUAGGUUAAUACCCUUGGGGGGAUGACGGUACCUGAAGAAUAAGCACCGGCUAACUACGUGCCAGCCGCCGCCGUAACAC